rnacentral:rRNA from 1 species
AUUGAACGCUGGCGGCAGGCCUAACACAUGCAAGUCGAGCGGUAGCACAGGGAGCUUGCUCCUGGGUGACGAGCGGCGGACGGGUGAGUAAUGUCUGGGAAACUGCCUGAUGGAGGGGGAUAACUACUGGAAACGGUAGCUAAUACCGCAUAACGUCGCAAGACCAAAGAGGGGGACCUUCGGGCCUCUUGCCAUCAGAUGUGCCCAGAUGGGAUUAGCUAGUAGGUGGGGUAACGGCUCACCUAGGCGACGAUCCCUAGCUGGUCUGAGAGGAUGACCAGCCACACUGGAACUGAGACACGGUCCAGACUCCUACGGGAGGCAGCAGUGGGGAAUAUUGCACAAUGGGCGCAAGCCUGAUGCAGCCAUGCCGCGUGUAUGAAGAAGGCCUUCGGGUUGUAAAGUACUUUCAGCGGGGAGGAAGGUGUUGAGGUUAAUAACCUCAGCAAUUGACGUUACCCGCAGAAGAAGCACCGGCUAACUCCGUGCCAGCCGCCGCCGUAA